AUGAGGCCGCUGAGAUCCUCCAGCCAGAGCCGGGGCGACAAUGCGCUUCGCAGCGACCCUUCCCUCCAGGAGGCAGCAAGGGCUCUUCCUCGGCCUGCAGCGGACAGGGCGGCGGCCCAGGAGCCUCGGGCCCCACCCCAAGGCCGAAGGCGCCAGGCGCUCGGCCGCCCCGUCCUUCGCAUCACUCCCAGGGAUCCUCCCCUUCGCCCGCACGCCGAGGCCGAGGCACCGGCUGCUUCAGCACUUCCGGGUCGGCGGAGAGAGCGCUGCGUGACGUUGCCGGAGCGUUCGGGAGCCUCGCGCCUGUUAUUGUUCCUGCUUCCCUCGCUCUCUCCCCCACCCCCGCCCGCCUUCCCACCGGCCCUCCGUCCGUUCCGCGAGCCGCCUGGAACCGCGCGCUCCUCGGGACGCUCUGAAGGCACCUCCAAAGGCCCGGCCGGGGAAAGAAGGGGAGGCGAGGCGGCCAGCCGCACGCGGAAGGCCGGCGUGGGAGGCUCGCUGAGGGAAGCUGUCAGAAGCCCGAGGGCGGUUGGAAGGAGCUGGAGGAGGGGGGCCCGCUGCCAACGGUUUCGAACCUUCCGUUGCGCGAGCCCUGACAGCGAGGGGCGGGGGAGUGCGCGCCGCGUCACCAAGCAGCAAGCAGCCCUAGCAGGAGGCGCAGGAAGGCGGCGGCGGCGGCGACUGGAAGGACAUGGCCUACGCGUAUCUCUUCAAGUACAUCAUAAUCGGGGACACAGAUUCAGAAGAUCAACAUAAUCAUCCUCAAUGGAGAUAUCCUACCAGUCUUCCAAGAGCAAAGAGCUGUGAUAAUUACCACAUGCAUCUCCCUUUGAGAAGUCACACCCUGCCUCAGUUCUGGGAAUAGAUUGACUGCUGCUCAAGUCAAUUUUCUCACAGCAGUGCUCCUUGGAGGAAUUUUAAGAGGGUCUGUCAUGUCUCUGGUACCCUCCUCUUCCAUCAAGCUGGAAAAUUCCAGAUUUAACCAUGCCUCAAGUACAAUUCCAAACUGCACCAAAGUCAACUCUCCCCUCUCCUUUAAUAACUUGGAGUGUUUACUAGCCUACAUUGCAGGAGAUCCAUUGAAGCAGGUAACAUGUUUCAGUGGCUUUUGGAUGAAUUGUAUAAAGAAGCUGGUUAUAUGUAGGUCAUGGAAUUCUUAUUUAAGGCUUAUGUAUAAAACCAUAUUUAUUAUCUAUUACUGUAUAACAUAGGAUUGGGCUGUGCAUGCAUAUCGGCUUCAUAGCACUUGAUCUUAAAACAGAGAAUGUCUGAAUUCUUGAUAGGAAACUUCUACCUCUGGGGUUGUUGUUUUUUUAUCUUUGAGGUGUAACUCAUGCAAGUUGCCAUUUUAUGUUAUUGUUGACAGAUGAUUCACAUGCGUAUGCAAACCAGCCCUUUCAUGUACAAAUAUAUGAAGCCCAAAAGUUUCCUUGUGAAAGUGGCAUGUGGUAGGUCCUUGCAGGAAUUAAAUACAUUUUUAGCUGGAAAUUUGGUUGUUAUGCACAAACUGUCUGUUCCUGACAAAAAGUUAUAGCUGUUUGGUCCAUUGCUAGCAUAGUUUCUACGCUAGAGCUUGGGCAUUCAUGAUUCCUACAUAUCAUAGUUUCUUAGAUUUGUCAUUGCUUACGUUUACCUGUCUUGGACUGAGAAAGCAGUUCUUUCACUUCUACUGAGGGCUAUUUGAAUCACAGUCCUGGUUUGAAGUUCUCUCAGCAACACCUGAGCUAUGUGCUAUUUAUCUUGUGAACCACCCUGAGAUCGUUGGAUGAAGGCCAUAUAUAAUAAUAAUAAAAUGUUGCAAGAGGUAAAACCACAAAAGUCUUGUGAAAACAAGUGUCCUACCUUGCAUCAUAUUCUGAUGUAAAAUACCUGUUUAACUUACAUUUAAAACUAUCAAGAGUGGCAAGAAAUUGUUUCUUAAGUUUUUCUGGCUAGAAAGAAAUUGAGAAUAAAUAAAAUAUAAGGAAGAAAAGCCUGUAAGAAGAGAGGAUUUGUAAUCUCUUAUUUAGAAUAGUAAUAUGAAGCAGGUAUUUUGACACGGGUGGUGCAGUGAAUGAUGAAAGAGUGCACCUUGUACUUCACUAAUAUUACACAUAAUAGAAGAUGAGUGGUCCACUUAUGAUUCUUUCAUGCCAAAUUUUAAGGUCACCUAUAUAACUAAAAAAAUUAGAGAAAAUAAGAACUUGGGAACAGAUGAAGGAACAAAUGAUAGCACCACCUUUAAAUACAUACAAAUAAAAAGUAUUCUAAGUGGACUGAGACAAAUACAGGAAGCGAGAACCUUAAAACAAUUUGAAAGGUUAACAGGGAAUGGCACAGUUAAAUGGUUUUCAACUUUAUGUCAAGUUAGUUAAUGCAUAAACAUUCAGAGACAAAACUUAAUCAUAUGAUGAAAUGGGAAAGAGAAUUGCAAACAGAAAUUUAGGAGAAAGUAUGGAAAUGCCUAUUUGGAGUAGGAACCAAAUUCAUGUCAGCCAUGAAUUUUAGAGAAAAUUGCAGGAAAAGCGUGGUGCAAUGGCUUUGGAUCCCUUGGAAAAGCAGAAUGAUUUCAUACAUAUGAUGGAAAUGAUAUUGGUUAUAAAAUGACAUAAUUUGUCAUUAGGCUUUGCAAAGAGUCCACUAUUAUGUUUGUUGAAUUACAUCAAUGAUUCAAGAACACCAAAGA
rnacentral:lncRNA from 1 species